rnacentral:misc_RNA from 1 species
GAAAUGCGAUAAGUAAUGUGAAUUGCAGAAUUCCGUGAAUCAUCGAAUCUUUGAACGCACAUUGCGCCCUCUGGUAUUCCGGGGGCAUGCCUGUCCGAGCGUCAUUGCUGCCCUCAAGCACGGCUUGUGUGUUGGGCUUCCGUCCCUGGCAACGGGGACGGGCCCAAAAGGCAGUGGCGGCACCAUGUCUGGUCCUCGAGCGUAUGGGGCUUUGUCACCCGCUCCCGUAGGUCCAGCUGGCAGCUAGCCUCGCAACCAAUCUUUUUAACCAGGUUGACCUCGGAUCAGGUAGGGAUACCCGCUGAACUUAAGC